rnacentral:rRNA from 1 species
AUUGAACGCUGGCGGCAGGCCUAACACAUGCAAGUCGAGCGAGCGGCGGACGGGUGAGUAAUGUCGGGGAAACUGCCUGAUGGAGGGGGAUAACUUCUGGAAACGGUCGCUAAUACCGCAUACCAUCAGAUGCGCCCAGAUGGGAUUAGCUAGUGGGGGGGGUAAUUGCUCACCUAGGCGACGACCCCUAGCUGGUCUGAGAGGAUGACCAGCCACACGGGAACUGAGACACGGUCCAGACUCCUACGGGAGGUAGCAGUGGGGAAUAUUGCACAAUGGGCGCAAGCCUGAUGCAGCCAUGCCGCGUGUAUGAAGAAGGCCUUCGGGUUGUAAAGUACUUUCAGCGGGGAGGCGUUACCCGCAGAAGAAGCACCGGCUAACUCCGUGCCAGCAGCCGCGGUAAUUC